rnacentral:rRNA from 1 species
AUUGAACGCUAGCGGGAUGCUUUACACAUGCAAGUCGAACGAGUGGCGGACGGGUGAGUAAUAUAUCGGAACGUGCCCAGUAGCGGGGGAUAACUACUCGAAAGAGUGGCUAAUACCGCCUACUAUUGGAGCGGCCGAUAUCGGAUUAGCUAGUUGGUGGGGUAAAGGCUCACCAAGGCAACGAUCCGUAGCUGGUUUGAGAGGACGACCAGCCACCCUGGGACUGGGCCACGGCCCAGACUCCUACGGGAGGCAGCAUAGGGGAAUUUUGGACAAUGGUGGAAACCCUGAUCCAGCCAUCCCGCGUGUAUGAAAGGGCCUUCGGGUGGUAAAGUACUUUGGGCAGAAAAGCGGUAUCUGCCGAAUAAGCACCGGCUAACUACGUGCCAGCAGCCGCGGUAAUAC